AUACGUAGGGGGCGAGCGUUGUCCGGAAUGAUUGGGCGCAAAGGGCGCGUAGGCGGCCCGGUAAGUCUGGAGUGAAAGUCCUGUUUUUAAGAUGGGAAUUGCUUUGGAUACUGUCGGGCUUGAGUGCAGGAGAGGUAAGUGGAAUUCCCAGUGUAGCGGUGAAAUGCGUAGAGAUUGGGAGGAACACCAGUGGCGAAGGCGAAUUCCUGGACGGAAACUGACGCUGAGGCGCGAAAGUGUGGGGAGAAAACAGGAUUAGAUACCCUGAUAGUCCACACUGUAAACGGUGAAUGCUAGGUUAAGGGGGUAUCGACCCCCUCUGUGCCGCAGUCAACACAAUAAGCAUUCCGCCUGGGGAGUACGGCCGCAAGGUUGAAACUCCACUGAAUUGACGGGG
rnacentral:rRNA from 1 species